rnacentral:rRNA from 1 species
GGGAUUGCCCUAGUAACGGCGAGUGAAGCGGCAACAGCUCAAAUUUGAAAUCUGGCGCAAGCCCGAGUUGUAAUUUGUAGAGGAUGCUUCUGGGUAGCGACCGAUCUAAGUUCCUUGGAACAGGACGUCAUAGAGGGUGAGAAUCCCGUAUGUGACCGGCCCGCACCCUUUACGUAGCUCCUUCGACGAGUCGAGUUGUUUGGGAAUGCAGCUCUAAAUGGGAGGUAAAUUUCUUCUAAAGCUAAAUACCGGCCAGAGACCGAUAGCGCACAAGUAGAGUGAUCGAAAGAUGAAAAGUACUUUGGAAAGAGAGUUAAAAAGCACGUGAAAUUGUUGAAAGGGAAGCGCCUGCAACCAGACUUCGCGGCAGUGUUCCGCCGGUCUUCUGACCGGUUCAUUCUCUGUCGCGAGGCCAUCAUCGUCUGGGCCCGCCGGAUAAGACCGUAGGAAUGUGGCUCGCCUUCGGGGGAGUGUUAUAGCCUACGGUGAUGCGGCGCGGCUCGGGCGAGGUCCGCGCUUCGGCAAGGAUGAUGGCGUAAUGGUUGUCGGCGGCCCGUCUUGAAACACGGACCAAGGAGUCUAACAUCUAUGCGAGUGUUCGGGUGUCAAACCCCUACGCGUAAUGAAAGUGAACGGAGGUGGGAACCGCAAGGUGCACCAUCGACCGAUCCUGAUGUCCUCGGAUGGAUUUGAGUAAGAGCAUAGCUGUUGGGACCCGAAAGAUGGUGAACUAUGCCUGAAUAGGGUGAAGCCAGAGGAAACUCUGGUGGAGGCUCGCAGCGGUUCUGACGUGCAAAUCGAUCGUCAAAUUUGGGUAUAGGGGCG